GCUCAGCGUCUACGCCGGAGCUGUCCUCACUGCGCUUGCGCAACGCCUUUUCCGCUGAAAAAUUAGCCACAUGUGCGGUUCUCGCUGCCUUGUGGGAAGCGGAGCUCCCAGAGGCUGCGGGGGCGACGGCGUUCGCGGUUUAUCAGGGCGCGAGACACCGACGGUCUGGCAGAUGUUUUAGGUUUAAAAAGGCUGAAACCAGGGCCGGCACAGUGGUUAAGUUCGCACAUUCUGGUUCGGUGGCCCAGAGUUCGAUGGUUCAGAUCUGCCGUGCGGACAUCGCACCACUUGGCAAGCCAUGCUGUGGUAGGCAUCCAACAUAUAAAGUAGAGGAAGAUGGGCACGGAUGUUAGCUCAGGGCCAGUCUUCCUCAGCAAAAAGAGGAGGAUUGGCAGCAGAUGUUAGCUUGGGGCCAAUCUUGCUCCCCCCCCAAAAAAAGAGGCUAAAACCAAGCAAGGGAAAACUGGCAAGGGCAAACCUGCUCAUUUUAUCUUCUCAAACACACCAGCAGGAUAUGGAACACUCCCGUCAGGGACUAGCCCACCACAGGAUUCUUUGGAGAGGGGGAGGGACAGAAGGGAGGAAUUUUGAAAAAGGCCUGGGGAGCUUUACAUCUUUGGUUUUACCACCCACCCACCAAGGUUAGGGAAGCCUGGGUAAUUAGGAAGAGGAUUGAAUUAAAAGGGCAGUCAGUUUCUCAAGAUGGCUUGAAAGACCGAAAGUAAACCUUGCUUAAUCUCUGCUAAUUAGAAAAUACCAACCUAAAGCUGGGGGCGAAUUAGGGAAAGAAUCUCUACCCUGAGGGAACCGGGGCCAGAUGGGGCUGCAUGCCCUUAACGCUGUUUUCUUCUCAGAAGAGACAGGAGACCUGGGCUAACACAUCAGGAUAAGAGCUUGCAUGGUCAUGAAGGAGCCUAACAAUUGAGACAAGACAAGGGAAGAGCCUUGGGAGAGUUCAGAAUAGAAAUCUCUAUUCAAAGCAAGCAGUGUAAGACAUCAGAAGAGCAGUCCCACCAGUUUCCUUCCCCAUGUAGCUCCCAUAUCAACACUUAGCCAGCAACUCCGCUCUAUAGAGUUUAUUGGGUUUAUAACUGGACGAAAUCACACGUGUACAAAAUGAAGCUCACACUAUCCCAAAGCAGAGUAGGGAUUGAGGGCUGGGGAUCUGUUACUGGCCUAUGGGGGAGCUCUGAGGUGAGGGGCAGCCAACCCUCCCACUCCAGAGAUGUGGCCACAGGGGAGGGGAGGAGAGGGAG